GAAGCUAUAGCUCAGUGGUAAAGCACAUGCUUAGCACAUAUGAGGUCCUGGGUUCCAUCCCCAGUACUUCCA
rnacentral:tRNA from 1 species